GGGGCCGUAGCUCAGCUGGGAGAGCGUCGCGUUCGCAAUGCGAAGGUCGGGGGUUCGAUCCCCCCCGGCUCCACCA
rnacentral:tRNA from 3 species